AAACACUCCGGAAGAAGAAGAAGAAAAAGAAGCAUCUCAACUAGGACUUCACAAUGGGAGCCGUCACAAAGGCCAGCCCCUUAAACCACUCCAGAAGAAGAAAAGAAAGAAAAAGAAACAUCUACUCAACAAGAACUUCACAGUGGGAGGCGUUACAAAGGCCAGCCCCUUAAACCACUCCAGAAGAAGAAAAGAAAGAAAAAGAAACAUCUACUCAACAAGGACUUCACAGUGGGAGCCAUCACAAAGGCCAGCCCCUUAAACCACUCCAGAAGAAGAAAAGAAAGAAAAAGAAACAUCUACUCGACAAGAACUUCACAGUGGGAGCCGUCACAAAGGCCAGCCCCUUAAACCACUCCAGAAGAAGAAAAGAAAGAAAAAGAAACAUCUACUCAACAAGAACUUCACAGUGGGAGCCGUCACAAAGGCUAGCCCCCUAAAACACUCCGGAAGAAGAAGAAGAAAAAGAAGCAUCUCAACUAGGACUUCACAAUGGGAGCCGUCACAAAGGCCAGCUCCCUAAGACAUUGAAGAACAAGCUUAUCCAACGCCUGCUACUGGAGUGUACUGGACUGGCGCCUGACAAGUGAACUGAGAUGGAGUAACGAUGUCAGGGUGGCUCCUUAAACAGGUGGUGUGGAAGCGCUACACUCCACAGCCACAGAGGCGCCACCCUGCCAAGACCACAGCAAGAGGAGGAAGAGCUCUGCAUUACUAAGUUAAGUACCUUGUCAUGACAUUCCGAGGGUUUUUCCUCAUUUUUGCCUUCUACUCAAAACUUUACUUUCUAAUGAACCUUAUCUUUUUCUCAGCCUGCCUCCUCCUACUCCUUCAGCUUCCUUUACCUCCUUGUGUGAAUCUGUCCGUCCCGAGAUCCGGCGAGACCAUCCCGACGUCGUAACACCCGUUUGGGAGUGGGGGGACUCAUGAAGGCGGCGGCGGCAGCCCUAAGGUGGGGAGGGUUGCGCCGACACCUCCACUCCGUUUCGGCGGAAUGUGGCUGGCUAGGGUGGCCUGAACCACUGUCUGGGUUGUUUGUCGUUCAGCUGGAUUGAGGAUCUGCCUCCCUUGAGGUGCACAUGUCAUAGUGGUGGCAGAAGAGAGUGUGAAUGAAGCUGAUGUCAUCCCGACGUCGUAACACCGUUGGGUGGGGCGUGGCUCUCAUGUCGAGUCUCCCCGCGGUGCACAUGUCACAGAGGUGCAAAAAGCAUGGCCUUCUUUCUUAUCUUUUCCCCCUCCUCCUCACCUCCCCCCCCCCCCUCCCCCACACACCUCCUGCUGUUAUAUCGUCACCUUCGUAAAGAAACUGUCUAAGUCAUUAUUUUCAGGAAAUCAGAAAAGAACUCAUUAUCUCAUUUGGCUUAACACUCAGACUCUGAAUAACGAAGGGAACCAUACAAAAUAUGGGCGUCACAUGUUAAAAAAAUUAAAGUAAACAAAAACCUGGAAAUCACUGAAAAAAGACUUAGGCAAUUUUUUUAUGAGGUUGGCGAUGUUGAAAUAGUUUUCUCUCCUCUAUUUAGGGACAUUCACUAAUUUUCUUCUGUUCUCUUCCCCUCCUCCUCCUCCUCUUGCUCACUGGUGGAUGGAGGAGGACCACUAGGAUGAGGAUGGAGAGGCGUUUCCACCAUGAGGAGGCGGGAGACUAAAAGCAGAGGCAUAGGAAGAGAAAGGGCAGCAAGACAGCAGAUGUAGGCGUUGUAGAUCAGGGAGGAGACACUUGACACAGCUUCAUCACACUAAGGCCAGCAAGACGGCCAGGGCAGUCAAGAGGCGCAAGAAGACUGCAGUAGGGUGUGGAGAAGCAGUGUGAGUGAGUGGAGGAUGCUUGACACGGCAUUAUCACAUGCCUGGCUGAGGCCGGGCAAUGAGAAGAAAGAAGACAAGAAGAAAGAAAAAAAUACAAGAAGACAAGAAGAAAGAAGAAAAGAGAAGGUGUCACAUAUAUACAGGUUAAAGGUUAAAUGGAGGAGGUCACUCGUUCCUUCUAUCUGAGAGGUCUGAUGUGUAAUGUACGAGGGAUGUUAUUUAAAUGUGACAUGCUGGGUAAUAUAUUUAAGUGUAACGUGCUGGGUAACAUUUAAGUGUGACGUGCUGGGGAAUAUAUUUUAAGCGUUACGUGCUGGGGAAUAUAUUUUAAGCGUUACGUGCUGGGGAAUAUAUUUUAAGCGUUACGUGCUGGGGAAUAUAUUUUAAGCGUUACGUGCUGGGGGAAUAUAUUUUAAGUGUUACAUGAUGGGGAAUAUAUUUAAAGGUCAUAUGGUGUCAUAAUACAUUUAAGGUAAUAUGCUGGGGGAGGAUAUUUAAAGGCAAUGUAGUAACUUAUAGAGUAAUGGUGAUCUACGGUCGUAACAACCCUUGCUGCUACAACUAUCACAACAACCCUUGCGAAUUUGGCUUUCAACAACCCAUACUGCUUCUGCUGCGUCCGCUAUCAUAACCCAUCCUGCUGCAUCCGCUAUCACAGCCCAUCCCGCUGCAUCCGCUAUCACAACCCAUCCUGCUGCAUCUGCUAUCACAACCCAUCCUGCUGCAUCUGCUAUCACAACCCAUCCUGCUGCAUCUGCUAUCACAACCCAUCCUGCGCCAUCUGCUAUCACAACCCAUCCUGCUGCAUCUGCUAUCACAACCCAUCCUGCUGCAUCUGCUAUCACAACCCAUCCUGCGCCAUCCGCUAUCACAACCCAUCCUGCGCCAUCUGCUAUCACAACCCAUCCUGCUGCAUCUGCUAUCACAACCCAUCCUGCUGCAUCCGCUAUCACAACCCAUCCUGCUGCAUCUGCUAUCACAACCCAUCCUGCUGCAUCCGCUAUCACAACCCAUCCUGCGCCAUCUGCUAUCACAACCCAUCCUGCGCCAUCCGCUAUCACAACCCAUCCUGCGCCAUCUGCUAUCACAACCCAUCCUGCUGCAUCCGCUAUUACAAAUCGUACUGCUUUCAGUAUCAACUCGUACUCCGCCAUCACAACCCGUCCUGCUGCGUCCUCUAUCACAACGUGUGCUGCUCCGUUAUCACAACCCGUUCUGCUCCGCUAUUACAACACGUACAGCUGCAUCCGCUAUUGCAACAACCCACGAUGGUUUUGCAGUCACGACACGAAUUGCUGCUUCGCCUGUCAUUACCCCGAACUGAUGCUCGUACUGCUUUUGCAGGUGCAACAACCUGUUUUGCUUCCACUGCUGAGUGAUUAGUGCUCCUGCUGUCAUAAAAACAUUGUUGCAACUGUGGCAACAACCCAAAUAAUGAAUUUCCUGAUCAAAGAUCAGAGAGGAUUAGGCCUACAGGGGAAACCUCUUAAAUA